rnacentral:rRNA from 1 species
AGCAGUCGCCACGGUAAUCCGUAGGUGGCAAGCGUUGUCCGGAAUUAUUGGGCGUAAAGGGCUCGCAGGCGGUUUCUUAAGUCUGAUGUGAAAGCCCCCGGCUCAACCGGGGAGGGUCAUUGGAAACUGGGAAACUUGAGUGCAGAAGAGGAGAGUGGAAUUCCACGUGUAGCGGUGAAAUGCGUAGAGAUGUGGAGGAACACCAGUGGCGAAGGCGACUCUCUGGUCUGUAACUGACGCUGAAGAGCGAAAGCGUGGGGAACGAACAGGAUUAGAUACCCCCGUAGUCCCUGUCUCUUAUAC